rnacentral:piRNA from 1 species
UAGGAAAACUCACAUUGGCCAUAGAUGUC